CCUACGGGUCGCACCAGUGGGGAAUAUUGCACAAUGGGCGCAAGCCUGAUGCAGCCAUGCCGCGUGUAUGAAGAAGGCCUUCGGGUUGUAAAGUACUUUCAGCGGGAGGAAGGUGUUGUGGUUAAUAACCGCAGCAAUUGACGUUACCCGCAGAAGAAGCACCGGCUAACUCCGUGCCAGCAGCCGCGGUAAUACGGAGGGUGCAAGCGUUAAUCGGAAUUACUGGGCGUAAAGCGCACGCAGGCGGUCUGUCAAGUCGGAUGUGAAAUCCCCGGGCUCAACCUGGGAACUGCAUUCGAAACUGGCAGGCUAGAGUCUUGUAGAGGGGGGUAGAAUUCCAGGUGUAGCGGUGAAAUGCGUAGAGAUCUGGAGGAAUACCGGUGGCGAAGGCGGCCCCCUGGACAAAGACUGACGCUCAGGUGCGAAAGCGUGGGGAGCAAACAGGAUUAGAUACCCGAGUAGUC
rnacentral:rRNA from 1 species